rnacentral:rRNA from 1 species
UACGUAGGUGGCAAGCGUUGUCCGGAAUUAUUGGGCGUAAAGCGCCGCGCAGGCGGUCCUUUAAGUCUGAUGUGAAAGCCCACGGCUCAACCGUGGAGGGUCAUUGGAAACUGGGGGACUUGAGUGCAGAAGAGGAAAGCGGAAUUCCACGUGUAGCGGUGAAUGCGUAGAGAUGUGGAGGAACACCAGUGGCGAAGGCGGCUU